ACGAACGCUGGCGGCGUGCUUAACACAUGCAAGUCGAACGGAAAGGCCCCCAUCUUGGUGGGGGUGCUCGUGUGGCGAACGGGUGAGUAACACGUGGGUGAUCUGCCCUGUAAUUCGGGGUAAGCUUGGGAAACUGGGUCUAAUACCGGAUAGGUCCAUGGUAUAGUGUCUCAUGGUGGAAAGAUUAUUGUUUUGGUGCAGGAUGAGCUCGCGGCCUAUCAGCUUGUUGGUGGGGUAAUGGCCUACCAUGGCGACGGCGGGUAGCCGGCCUGAGAGGGUGGUCGGCGACGCUGGAAUUGAGACAGGGACACGGCCCAGACGCCAACGAGAGGCAGCAGUGGGUAAUAAUGCGCCAUAGGCGUAAGCCUGAUGCAGCGACUGCGCGAGGAAGAUGUCGGCCUUCGGGUUGUAUACUACUUGCGUAGGAGACGAGGCCACGCUUUUUGGGUGUGGUGACGGUACCUUUGUGAAGAAGCACCGGCUAACUACGUG
rnacentral:rRNA from 1 species